ACACCAGCUGCUAUAGUACCUGAAUGAUAAAGUAAAAGAAAUGUCAUUCUAAAAUCUCGAGAAUUGCUGGAAAACCUUUUAAAUAUGUAUAGAUGUUUAAGCAAGAUAAUCAGCAGGAUAGCCUUUAAACUUAUUAAAGGAGUCUUCAGAGACUAUACACGAGACAAUUCUUGAUAAUUGAAGAUAUAGUCCGACCAUAAUAGAAAUACUAUG
rnacentral:ncRNA from 1 species